CAGCAAUGAUUCUAGCAUAUUUUCAAUGACCCGGAAAACAACUGGGUCAAUGCACAAAGUACAGAAAUAACAAAACUUAAACUUAAAUACGAUGCACUGUAUCAAACAAAUUUCAACCCACACCUUUUAAACAGGAACUUUUUAGUACUUUGUAAACUGACCAUUUUACUAUUUCAUGACUUUUUACUAAUCUCUUUUACAAAUUUUUAUAUACAAUAGAAUUUAGUAUACUAAUACAUGCAAUAUAUGUGAGUGGUUCAAGUAAAAACGUUAUGUACAGC